UCAGAGAUCUAGUGAUAGACUGAGAGCAGU
rnacentral:piRNA from 1 species